rnacentral:rRNA from 1 species
AAUCAACGCUGGCGGCGUGCCUCAGACAUGCAAGUCGAACGAUUAAAGCUCUCUUCGGAGAGUGUAUAGAGUGGCGCACGGGUGAGUAACACGUAAGUAAUCUACCUUUGAGUGGGGAAUAAACGUCCGGAAACGGACGCUAAUACCGCAUAAUGCAGCGGCAUCGCAAGAUGACAGUUGUUAAAGAUUUAUCGCUUGAAGAGGAGCUUGCGGCAGAUUAGCUAGUUGGUAAGGUAAUGGCUUACCAAGGCUACGAUCUGUAACCGGUCUAAGAGGACGGUCGGUCACACUGACACUGAAUAACGGGUCAGACUCCUACGGGAGGCAGCAGUCGGGAAUUUGGGUCAAUGGGCGAAAGACCUGACCCAGCAAACGCCGCGUGAAGGAUGAAGUAUUUCGGUAUGUAAACUU